GGCGAGGAUGUGGUAUUUAGAAUAAGAGAUUUCCACAUGCUGGGUGGAUAGAGGGGCAGGAAUGACUAAAGCAGCAGCAAGAGGCCAACGAAGUCAGAGAGCAGGGAUAGGUGGCCCGAAGAUCUGGUGAGUGAAGUUCACAGAGCUGAGCCCCGGGAAGAAUGCCAGGCUCCUGGUUAGGGCGUUGUAGUCUCUGCCUUCCCUGACCGUGGAAGACACCUUGGAAGAAGCUCCUGGGCACUGUCUCCCUGGGAGGUGGGCGGGACUGCUGGCCAAAGGUCAGGGCAGAGGCAGCUCCACUGAGGAAAUGGAGAAGGACCAGCGUGGAGGGGAAGGAACUGGGAGGAGCAGCCAGCUGUCCCCUUCUCCAGGCUGCUGGGCAUAGAGCUGGACCCACGAGCAGCCCUGAGGACCAGCUGCCCCACGGGCGAGGGGGGAGCAAGACAGGCUGCACCUGCAUGCGGAGCCUUGGGGAAGGAGAGAAAAUUGAGACACUGAUGGAGGUUGAUGCAAGGAACCGAGGCAACCCUCCCCUCCAUCAAACCGCCUGGGCCCACCAUCUAUAGAGGGUGACUGCCUUUCUGCACGCGCCAGGGAGGCUGGACUCAGCAGAGCUUCCUGGCUCUCAGGUGAGGGGAACCUGAAACUUCUGAACAACCUGAGGAAGAAUGUGGUAGAAAUACCCCCUCUGAGCAUUCCAGGGUGGAAACCAACCAGAGCGUGUGUGUGUGUAUGUGUGUGUGUGUGUGUGUGUGUGUGUGUGUGUGUGUGUGUGGCGGGGGGGGGGGUGUUAUCAUUCCCAGUAGUCUAAAAAAUGAGAGGAAUGCCAGCACUGGGGAGAUAGGUACUUAGGCAUCAGGUAAUAAAGGGACUGAGGAAGGGGGCUGUGGGAGAGCC
rnacentral:lncRNA from 1 species